rnacentral:rRNA from 1 species
AUUGAACGCUGGCGGCAGGCCUAACACAUGCAAGUCGAACGGUAACAGGAAGAAGCUUGCUUCUUUGCUGACGAGUGGCGGACGGGUGAGUAAUGUCUGGGAAACUGCCUGAUGGAGGGGGAUAACUACUGGAAACGGUAGCUAAUACCGCAUAACGUCGCAAGACCAAGGAGGGGGACCUUCGGGCCUCUUGCCAUCGGAUGUGCCCAGAUGGGAUUAGCUAGUAGGUGGGGUAACGGCUCACCUAGGCGACGAUCCCUAGCUGGUCUGAGAGGGUGACCAGCCACACUGGAACUGAGACACGGUCCAGACUCCUACGGGAGGCAGCAGUGGGGAAUAUUGCACAAUGGGCGCAAGCCUGAUGCAGCCAUGCCGCGUGUAUGAAGAAGGCCUUCGGGUUGUAAAGUACUUUCAGCGGGGAGGAAGGGAGUAAAGUUAAUACCUUUGCUCAUUGACGUUACCCGCAGAAGAAGCACCGGCUAACUCCGUG